UAUAUUUUUUUUUUGCCUGUACCGUAUUGGGUAGUUUGGCGGUGAUAUAUUCAUAGAUUAAAAAUCGUUCUGACUUUGACUCCUCGUGUCUUCCCUCUGAUUCCGACUCCUCGUGACGUUGCCGCUUUGUUUGCUCUACGGGAACGUCAGGAAGAGUCCAGCACAGCCGCACAGGAAACUUUCGUCCUGCUAGAAGCUCUCUCCCUUCUUCCGGCGUCCUUGCCUCCUUGGGCAUUCUUCCGGAGUUCCGGCGUCUUGGAUUCAGCCGGCAGCACGCACAGUGCAAGUCCGACUCCUUAUCUCUGAUCUCUCCCUUCUAAGCUUUCUUCCGUUCGGACUCCGGCGUAUCCGGCCGGCAGCUGCUGGCCCGCAGCACAGAGAUUUUGUUGGAUACUAUACAAUACUCCAUUCUUCUAUCUUGGAUCAGCCGACAGUACAG